CACAAUCUUGAUUUGAGUUUAGGCAAUUCUGGUUCGAAGCAAAACAAUGUAGGAUUUAGUAAUGAUAGGCAAAAUGCUGGAAUAGAUCAGCAAUCAGCACAGAUGCCAUUCGAAGCUGAUUGGCGAAAUCGGGGAAUUAGGCCUAAGCUAAACCUGUAUAGAAAUAGUGAUAGUAAUGAGCAUAGAAGAGAAGGUUACUGUGAGACUGAAACUAUGCAGCUUCUUAGCCAAACGCACAUUCAAUCUCCUGGAAAUGAACCACAAAGAUAUGGACAAUUCAGGAGACCUGGAGAAACCCAGAUGUUUCAUGAUUUUUCACCAACAAACUAUCAAAUUCAGUUUCCGAGCAGCAGCAAUGGAGG
rnacentral:misc_RNA from 1 species